GGAUGUGGCGUCAUCUCCUUUGUUGUGAGCAGCACAGCUGAGACUGAGCGCCGCAGCUCCCACGUGACAGGAGGUGAUGUGAGAGCAGAGGACGGUCGUCAGCCCCUGAAUACAGGCUCUGACGCGGUGGCACCCGGCGAUGCGGGGCCGACGCCCUUAGUUGUGACGGAUGGUGGAGAAGAUGAUGAGGCUGCGUUGGACUCAUCCAAGUCACGCCUGUCAGAGGACCUGGGUCAGCGCGGACGGUGCCUCAUGUCGGUGGAGAUUCCUCCAUCAGCUUCAGUGGUCCUGUAGCCGCCUCCAGCUACCUCCAACACAGACGUUUCCCCAGCACCUCCCGGCCGUUCUCCCAGGCUGUCCCCACGCAGCGCCCCUACGGCUGCCCCAGCUGCGCCAAGCGCUUCUUCCUGGAGUCGGACCUGCAGAAGCACGUGGGCCGGCACACCAGGGAGAAACCCUACACCUGCCCGCUCUGCAGGAAGAGCUUUGUGUGCCAGAGCCAGCUGGACAUCCACCACAACGUCCACACCGGAGAGCGGCCCUUCAGCUGCCCUGUCUGCAGCAGACGCUUCUCCCACCCCAGCAACCUGAAGCGGCACCAGAAGAUCCAGCACUGAGCAGCAGAAGCAGCUACCGGCCACCAAAGUCCCCCUUUUAGACUGAUUUACUGCUGUUUUAUCACAGCUUUGCUUCCAAAGAGUCAAAUGUAAAUGAAAGCAUUUACAAAUAGUUUAUAUUUUAUGGAUUUUAAGACGCCACAUGCGAAAGAAACAUAACUUUUCAAAACAAUUUCCUUCUGUUUUGGAAACAAGCAUUUAACAACUCCACACAAUAUGUAAGAAAACCAAGGGAUCGACUUGAAGUGUGUAUUGUGAGCAGCGCCUGUAGCUGGACGCCUCAUUCAGACACACAGGCUCAUCGGCAAAAGGCUGGAUCCAGUGACAUGCAGCACUGGGCCAAAUGUGACCAUAUGGAAACAACACGUGCUACCUCACCACCCACACGCCAAGGAGUCAGGCACUGACACUGUGAUUUAGAUUUUCCUUUUUCCUUGGUACUACUACUACUACUACCAAUACUACUACUACUACUACUACUACUACUACUACUUUCGACUUUCCCCAUCAUGGAUUGCAACAGCAAAUCAUCCUUUUCCACCUCACUCUAUCCUGGGCAUCUUCCACACUCACACCAGCCACCAUGUCCUCUGUCAGCACAUCCAAAUAUCUCCUCCUAUCUCUCUUCUUGUUCCAAUCUCUAACAACCUUUACCCAUAUAUUCACCAUCCCUCCUCUGCACAUGUCCAAACCAUCUCAUUCUGGCCUCUCUGACUUUGUUGCUAACACAGGCAACGUGAGCCGUCCCUCUGAUGAGCUUGUUCCUGAUUCUGUCCAACCUCUUCAGUCAUAAGGAGAACCUCAGCAUCUUCAUCUCUGCUGCCUCCAUCUCUGCCUCCUGUCUCUUCUUCACUGCUACCGUCUCUAACCCACAGAGCAGAGCUGUCUCACCACUGUCUUUACACUUUUCCUUUGAGUCUUGCUGACACACAACACUCUGCUGACACUUUCCUCCACCUGCUCCGCUCCACUUGCACCUUCUUCACCUCAGCCUCUGUAGCCUCACUGUUCUACCUUGACCCCUCGCAUUUAGACACAUGUAUCCUGUCUUACUACCACUGACUUUCAUGCCUCUUCUUUCCAGAGCAAACCUCCACCUCUCCAGCUGUUCCUCCACCUGCUCUCUACUCUCACUGCAGAUCAAACAUCAUUGUCCAGGGAGAUUCCAGUCUGACCUCGUCUGUAGCCUGUCCAUCAGCACGGCAAACAAAAAGGACUCAAAGCUGAUCCUUGGUGUUGUCCUCAUCUACUUUGAACUCUUCUGUCUGACCUACAGCGCAUCUCACCACCGUCAUACUCCUCUCAUACAUGUUCUGGACUACUCUGACGUACUUCUCUGCCACUCCCGACAACCUCAAACAGUACCACAGCUCGUCCCUCAUCACCGUGUCAUACGCCUUAUCUAAAUCCACAAAGACAAUGCAGCUCCUUCUCAAUCAACAUUCUCAGAUGGCAUCAGAAGUGCUCUUAUGGGCAUGAAACCAUACUGCUGCUCACAAAUCUCCACCUUCUUCCUGAGUCUGGCUACUCUUUCCCACAGCUUCAUUGUGUGGCUCAUCAACUUUAUUCCUCUGUUGUUGCUGCAGUUCUGCGUGUCCCCAGAGAGCUUCAGAGCCUUUCUCACCUCAUUCUGUACAAGUCCUUCUGUCCUUCCUUCGUGUCUAACCUGUCAUACAGCUCAUCGUAAGCUUUCUGUUCGGCCUUUGCCACCUUCCUCUCAAAUUCUUGUACUCCUGUCUACUUUCCUCAGUCCACUUCCUUUUAGACAACCUCUUGCAGUCACUAACCUCCCUCAAAUGACCUCGUCUACAUAGGAUGUAGUCCACCUGCAUGCUCCUACCUUCUCUGUGUUCCUCUCUUCUGAAAGUGAGUGUUUACUCUACCGCCAUCUGUCCUUCUAGGGUCCUUUCCUUUACACCAAACCUGCCCAUCAUCACCUCUGUUACCCUCAACAACAUGCCCAUUGAAGUCUGCUUCAACCACUACCCUCUCUCCUCUGGGGAUACUCUCUCUAAAUCGUCAAACUCACUCCGGAAUGUCUCCUUCUCUUCUCACAGCCAACUUGUGGCACACACCCACUGACUACAUUCACCAUUGCCCAUUCAAUUUCUAGUCAGAGACUCCUUUCACCUCUAGAACAUUAUUCACCAACUCCCCCUUCAGGAUCACUCCUACUAGGAUUUCUCUUGCUAUCCACACCAUGGUAAAACAAUACUACGUGCUUUGCUGCCCUUUCACCUCGUCUCCUGCGCACAUAGUGCAUCGACCUUCCUUCUCUCCAUCGUGUCUACCAGCUCUCUGUCUUUCCCUGUUGUUGUUCAACGUUAAAAGGUGUGUCGAUCAAGUGUGUUCAGUCAAUGAGCAGCUGAAAACGUUAACUGACACAACUGGUGAAGGUGAUCAGCAGGGAGAGUUGGAAAACCAGCAGGGAUACUGGCCCUCGAGUACCAGGACGGCCCACCCCGGCUCUAAACUGUGGGGGAUUCGACUGAACAGCUGCCACCCACAGCUUCUCUAGUUUUCUAAUCAGGCGUUUUGUGGCCAAAGCUCAUACACAGGUGUGACCACAGCACAUUAUUACAUUUUCUAGGUUUUUAACAUGUUGAACUGUGUCCUUUUCCAAAGAACAGAAGUACAAAUAAUAAAUCAUAAUACUUUCAAA